AGAUUAUCCUCAACAAAAAAGAAAAACCCUGGGACUCUGGGUGGAGACCGAGACCACGGCUGUUUCUCAAUUCUAAGAACACCAAAAGAAGGGACUCGCGUUCUGGUGAAGACCGGUCUUGCCAGGCGACCUAGGAAGCACGAACUCGGAAGGACACAGAACGCAUCUUUGAUGAGCAGACCUGAGAAAACCAAGCACUGUUCCAGCACGACGAUGCUCCUGUGCACAAAGAGUGCGAGCUCCAUGAAGACACAGUGUGUGAAGGUUGGAAGAAGGUAGAAGAACUCGAGUGUCCUGUACAGAACCCUGACAUCAACCCCACUGACUCAUCACCUUUGGGAUGAACUGGAACUGGAGUCUCCUCACAUCAACAUCAGCGCCUGACCUCGACCUCACUAACGCUCCUGUAGCUGAACGAACACGAAUCCCCACAGCCACGCCCCAAAAUCUAAUGCAAAGCCUUCCCAGAAGAGUGGCGCGCAGGGU
ensembl:lncRNA